rnacentral:rRNA from 1 species
UACAGAGACUGCAAGCGUUAUUCGGAUUCACUUGGGCGUAAAGGGUGCGCAGGCGGUUGGGUGUGUCAGAUGUGAAAUCCCGAGGCUCAACCUCGGAACUGCGUCUGAAACUACUCGACUAGAGUACUGGAGAGGGUAACGGAAUUCACGGUGUAGCAGUGAAAUGCGUAGAUAUCGUGAGGAACACCAGAGGCGAAGGCGGUUACCUGGACAGUUACUGACGCUCAGGCACGAAAGCAUGGGGAGCAAAAGGG